CUUAAACUUGUGAAGUACUUCAU
rnacentral:snRNA from 1 species